GCCCUCGUAGCUCAGUUGGAUAGAGCAACAGCCUUCUAAGCUGUGGGUCAGGCGUUCGAGUCGCCUCGAGGGUGCCA
rnacentral:tRNA from 1 species